AUUGAACGCUGGCGGCAGGCCUAACACAUGCAAGUCGAGCGGAUGAGUGGAGCUUGCUCCAUGAUUCAGCGGCGGACGGGUGAGUAAUGCCUAGGAAUCUGCCUGGUAGUGGGGGACAACGUUUCGAAAGGAACGCUAAUACCGCAUACGUCCUACGGGAGAAAGCAGGGGACCUUCGGGCCUUGCGCUAUCAGAUGAGCCUAGGUCGGAUUAGCUAGUAGGUGAGGUAAUGGCCCACCUAGGCGACGAUCCGUAACUGGUCAGAGAGGAUGAUCAGUCACACUGGAACUGAGACACGGUCCAGACUCCUACGGGAGGCAGCAGUGGGGAAUAUUGGACAAUGGGCGAAAGCCUGAUCCAGCCAUGCCGCGUGUGUGAAGAAGGUCUUCGGAUUGUAAAGCACUUUAAGUUGGGAGGAAGGGCAGUAAGUUAAUACCUUGCUGUUUUGACGUUACCAACAGAAUAAGCACCGGCUAACUUCGUGCCAGCCGCCGCGGUAAAAC
rnacentral:rRNA from 1 species